AUUGAACGCUGGCGGCAGGCCUAACACAUGCAAGUCGAACGAGUGGCGGACGGGUGAGUACUGUCUGGGAACUGCCUGAUGGAGGGGGCUAACUACUGGAAACGGUAGCUAAUACCGCAUACUAUCGGAUAACCCAUAUGGGAUUAGCUAGUAGGUGGGGUAAUGGCUCACCUAGGCGACGAUCCCUAGCUGGUCUGAGAGGAUGAUCAGCCCCGCUGGGACGGAGACACGGCCCAGACUGCGACGGAGGCAGCAGUGGGGAAUAUUGGACAAUGGGCGCAAGCCUGAUGCAGCCAUGCCGCGUGUAUGAAGAAGGCCCUAGGGUUGUAAAGUACUGUCAGUCGGGAGGCGUUACCGACAGAAGAAACACCGGCUAACUACGUGCCAGCAGCCGCGGUAAUAC
rnacentral:rRNA from 1 species